CGAAGGGGAUCGCCCUCAUCGGACGACGACGACUGAUCGGAAACGGCAUCGGGUUCCUAUCGAAGGAGGCGGCGAAGCUCUUCCAGACGGCUGAGCCCACGCCGGAGCAGUGGCCGCCGGAGUUCCCACGAUGAUAGCAGUGAUUAUUCGGAUUCUGGAUCGGAGAACCGGCGUAGGCGAAAGAACGGAGGAGGAGAUCUUCGAGUACAUGGCCAAGAAAGCCCAAAAGAAGGCUGUGAAGGUCGCAAAGAAGCUCAAAGCAAAUGCAGUCUCUGGUUAUUCGAAUGAUUCGAAUCCAUUUGAAGACUCCAAUCUGACCGAGAGCUAUAUGUUGCAUAAUGUGCUACACCAAUUCUGUGCUUGGCAUCCAUAGCCAUGAGAUCUCCAAACUGACUCCAAGCUGGGCUACUGCUGCUGCUGCUUCACGGAUCAUUCAGCAUAAUGCAACUCCUCUCCUACUUUAGCAGCAGAUUCUUACGAAGGAUAUAUCAGAUUCAAAGGCCUUCCUAAUGAAGUGAAGAGUUUCAAGUCUGAGACAGCGUAUGUUCCCUGCACCGUGACAAAUGGAAUUCCACGUGGCAUACGUUGUCUCGUGGAGAUGCUCCCUUGCUUCCACGGUCGCCAACAUCGCAAUAAAACAAAAACGAGAGGCUGGCAAGUCAAACCUACUUGCAUGUAUAAGGGUGUUCAAAGUCGUGAAGUCCAACGACAUUGUAGCCCUAACAUCUAAGUUUUCCCAUUGUUAAUGUCAUAAGCAAGGCAAUCAAGCCACAUGACACCAAUUUAUAAGCAUCGGUAAGAUGGGGGAGCUGAGAGAGAUAAGACUGCAGGAAUAAAUGAAGACGGUCACACAUCUCGGUUCAUGUCACCUCACCACCGCCAUGGUAGAUUGCAAUUAAUUCCCACUGUGAAGGGGCUCGCAACGACACCGCUCCAGGAUUCGGUACUUGGCCUAUCAUGGAGGACUCUACUGUGUGCCAUUUCCCAAGGCAGGGAGGGAGGCUUGUGCCUUGUUUGACGACCUUGCACAGAUAUUAUGCAGC